GAUGAACGCUGGCGGCGUGCCUAAUACAUGCAAGUCGAGCGAAUGGAUUAAGAGCUUGCUCUUAUGAAGUUAGCGGCGGACGGGUGAGUAACACGUGGGUAACCUGCCCAUAAGACUGGGAUAACUCCGGGAAACCGGGGCUAAUACCGGAUAACAUUUUGAACCGCAUGGUUCGAAAUUGAAAGGCGGCUUCGGCUGUCACUUAUGGAUGGACCCGCGUCGCAUUAGCUAGUUGGUGAGGUAACGGCUCACCAAGGCAACGAUGCGUAGCCGACCUGAGAGGGUGAUCGGCCACACUGGGACUGAGACACGGCCCAGACCCCUACGGGAGGUAGCAGUAGGGAAUCUUCCGCAAUGGACGAAAGUCUGACGGAGCAACGCCGCGUGAGUGAUGAAGGCUUUCGGGUCGUAAAACUCUGUUGUUAGGGAAGAACAAGUGCUAGUUGAAUAAGCUGGCACCUUGACGGUACCUAACCAGAAGGCCACGGCUAACUACGUGCCAGCCGCCGCGGUAA
rnacentral:rRNA from 1 species